rnacentral:piRNA from 1 species
UUGUAAUAGGACAUUUACUCUUGCAGGACC